rnacentral:rRNA from 1 species
UACGGGGGGGGCAAGCGUUGUUCGGAAUUACUGGGCGUAAAGGGCUCGUAGGCGGCCAACUAAGUCAUACGUGAAAUCCCUCGGCUUAACCGGGGAACUGCGUCUGAUACUGGAUGGCUUGAGUUCGGGAGAGGGAUGCGGAAUUCCAGGUGUAGCGGUGAAAUGCGUAGAUAUCUGGAGGAACACCGGUGGCGAAGGCGGCAUCCUGGACCGAGAUUGACGCUGAGGCGCGAAAGCCAGGGGAGCAAACGGG